rnacentral:rRNA from 1 species
AGAACGAACGCUGGCGGCAUGCCUAAUACAUGCAAGUCGAACGAACUCUUCGGAGUUAGUGGCGCACGGGUGCGUAACGCGUGGGAAUCUGCCCCUUGGUUCGGAAUAACAGUUGGAAACGACUGCUAAUACCGGAUGAUGACGAAAGUCCAAAGAUUUAUCGCCAAGGGAUGAGCCCGCGUAGGAUUAGCUAGUUGGUGAGGUAAAGGCUCACCAAGGCAACGAUCCUUAGCUGGUCUGAGAGGAUGAUCAGCCACACUGGGACUGAGACACGGCCCAAACUCCUACGGGAGGCAGCAGUGGGGAAUCUUGCGCAAUGGGCGAAAGCCUGACGCAGCCAUGCCGCGUGUAUGAUGAAGGUCUUAGGAUUGUAAAAUACUUUCACCGGUUGAAGAUAAUGACUGUAGCCGGAGAAGAAGCCCGCUAACUCGUGCCAGCAGCCGC